rnacentral:rRNA from 1 species
GACGAACGCUGGCGGCGUGCUUAACACAUGCAAGUCGAACGGAAAGGCCCUGCUUUUGUGGGGUGCUCGAUUGGCGAACGGGUGAGUAACACGUGAGUAACCUGCCCUUGACUUUGGGAUAACUUCAGGAAACUGGGGCUAAUACCGGAUAGGAGCUCCUGCUGCAUGGUGGGGGUUGGAAAGUUUCGGCGGUUGGGGAUGGACUCGCGGCUUAUCAGCUUGUUGGUGGGGUAGUGGCUUACCAAGGCUUUGACGGGUAGCCGGCCUGAGAGCGUUACCGGCCACCAUGGGACUGCGAGACGGACCAGACUCCUACGGGAGGCAGCAGUGGGGAAUAUUGCACAAUGGGCGGAAGCGUGAUGCAGCAACGCCGCGUGCGGGAUGACGGCCUUCGGGUUGUAAACCGCUUUCGACUGUGACGAAGCGUGAGUGACGGUAAUGGGUAAAGAAGCACCGGCUAACUACGUG